CGGGACGGGUGAGUAACGCGUGGGUAACCUGCCUUACACAGGGGGAUAACACUUAGAAAUAGGUGCUAAUACCGCAUGAGCGCACAGGACCGCAUGGUCGAGUGUGAAAAACUGAGGUGGUGUAAGAUGGACCCGCGUCUGAUUAGCUAGUUGGUGAGGUAACGGCCCACCAAGGCGACGAUCAGUAGCCGGCCUGAGAGGUUGGCCGGCCACAUUGGGACUGAGAUACGGCCCAGACUCCUACGGGAGGCAGCAG
rnacentral:rRNA from 1 species